UCGACUAUAGGAGUCCAGCAACACAGCCAUCACAUCAUCUGCUGAUCCCGAUAAGCUAAAUUCUUAGAUUAGCAAGGAGCUGCCCGACAGGCCUGCAGAGUUUGAGAACAGCUGGAAGGCAGGAGGAGCCUGGGGCCACUGCUCCAUCCUGUUCUCUUCCAGGUUCCAUCACAGAAGGCUUCAGAGUGGAAUUUCCUCAGGAUGUGAUCGUGCGAGCUGUCCACUAUCUUCCUCAAGAGCUCAGAAGAGCUGAAAUGAAAGAGCAGAGGUUGGAGGCUCUCUGGCCUGGUGGUGAAGGCAGCCAGACACCACAUGGCCAACCUCAGCUUAAGUCCCACACCCAGCACCUUGAAACACUGAGCACGUUAUGUGUGUGCCCAAAAUUCUGCAGGGAAGCAGAGAUGGAGAAGGGAUUGCCGCUGGUCAUCCCCCUUCCCAAAGGCGGGUGCUUUCUCUUCUCUCUGGCCAGCGCAUGUGCCCUCUGGCAAAAUUUAAAAAGGAAGAGUAAAUGGAGAGAAUGAGGAGCAACUGGGACCCUCAUACCACUGCGGGGCGUGCGAAGUGACUCAACCGCUGUGAAAUACCCUGACUGCUGUCUAAGAAGGUUGCUCCCCCGAGGCACACCACGGCCACGCCUGCUGUAACCACGGCCGGGAACUGCACACCCAGACCGUCCCUCCCCAUCAGCUCCUGCGUGUCCCUGUGGCCACCCCAGACUCCCCAGUCGAAAUAGAUGUGCCCCCACCCUUCCUGAGGCUGCCACACGUUUUCCGCCCAGGUGGGCGGGGUGCUAGGGGCACUGCCUGCAGCUGGCUGCGUUUGUCCCAGGUCGCACGUGAACUGAUUGCCAGGUGGGUCCAGCCACUGGCGGGCACUGGCAAGAUGCAGGACGAAAGAGAGAGAAUCAGGGUCUUUCUCUGCCCCUCUCUGCUGGGGAGUCUCUGGUGGUGGCUCCAACUUCGGGGAGGCCCACUGUGGUUCCUGGCCCCUGUGGACCCCUCCCUGACACCUGUAAGUCGACUUCCGCCUGGGCCCUCCCCCAAAGAUGGUACCAGUUUCCAUGGUGGCUGGCCUCCCUGGGCAGUCUGUUUGGAAGGCUGUAUACUGAGCGACGACCCCAGCUGACACAGUAACCCCAACACAUUUUGCUCAUUUUAGGUUUUGAAUACUUCCCCCUACCCCUACUUGGGUGUCCAGGUAAGGUCUUCCUGGCACAGUGAGACGGCAGCACCAUUGGGAAGAUGAGAUGAGAAACAGACGGAAGGAGGUGACCAUGCUGCCGGGCAGUCAGGGAGGGACCUCCUCCUGUGGGCAGCGGCCUCUGCCUCCCACAGUACUUGUGCCUGGUCCUUUUCUCCUGAGCCCGGCUUCUGAAACACCGUCAAAGGACAUACCUCCUGGCCUGCCUGGCAGGGUACCCUCCCAAACCUGGGAGCCCAGAUCUCCCAGGACCACGGAGACACCUCACCAAUGGUUCUCCACGUGGGGCGGGGCUCUACCAGGCCACGACCAGCAGGGGGUGUCACAGGUGGCCCAGAGGACAUGGUGAGGCUGGAAUGCCCUGCGGUGCUUGCAUGAGUCAGGACACAGUCCUGGCAGGUCUUCGGGUGUCAUGUUAGUAACCUGAGUUUGCUGCCCUCCCCGCCAUGUGUCCCUGCUCUUUGGAGAGGUCCUUGGUGCUGCGCCCUGGCCCGUGGGACAGCAGCCAGUGUGGGAAUCCUGCCACGACUGAGGCAGGGCACGACCCACUCCUCCGUGAUCUCGGCCUCUGGGGUCUCUAAUGCACACUCACACUAACACAGCCCCCGCACACUUACACCACACACUCUUGCUCACACACAGCUCAUGCACACAGUGCUCCUCACACGCACACCUACUCAUUCAGUCCCACUCACAUUCACACCACACUCACAGCUCAUACCAUACACACUCACAAGCUCACAGUGACAUACCCGGGGCGCUUCUCAAGCCACUGGGUCUGGAACGUGAACUCUGCAGCCAGCCACGUGGGAUCCGGCGACCGUGGCCAGUGGCCCCGGGCUGGUCCCACAUCCACGCUGAUGCUCACACUCAUUCAGUCGCACGUUCACACAGAAUGCACAGAACAUCCACCUCCCCCACCUUCACUCACACUCUCACCACCCACUCGCCCACUCCCACACACCCACUCAUGUUCGCGCUCAUUUUCACACGGAAUCCGCAGCGCGCUCACAUGCUCACCAGCGUCCCGUCCCCGCUGCCCCCUGCAGUCCCGCUCGCCUGGUGCCAGCGACCCCGCAGCUCUUGUGCCAGACCCACCCCUUCUCCGCACACCUCUCCCCACAUUCAUCCUGUGCCUUUGUCCCCUGGGACAUGUGGGCUCCAUAGAAGGUGCUUGGUAGUCAAGUUGUAAAACUUUUAGGAAAGUGUACUAUACCCCAAGCGACUGGGUGUGCUUUACAUAGGCGGUCUGUGUAGUGUGAAUUCUGUCGCAAUGGACCAGUUCCCAAAACCACAGGCUGGCUUCUGUGACGCUGAGGACUUGCUCUCUGGGUCCCAGGAAACAGCUCUGAGACAGGAGGCAUCGGCAGCUCCCCGGACUCUGGGGAAGAGGGACGGUCUCACCCGCACAACAGGCCCAAGAAACUGCCGGGACCCCUGUGCCCAUCUUUCCGGCUGAAUUCACAGGACUCGGCUGGAAGGGGAUGGAGACACAGAGAGAGGGGCCUGGCUGCCUGGGGAGGCCCCCAUUAGCCGUCUCCAUCAGUUGAUUGGAUAAGCCAGGAACAGACUCCUUUCGGGCUAGCCUGAGUUGCGGGCUCACUCGUUACAGUGGCCAGUGCUACUUUAGCGGGUGUACCUCCCCUUGCAGAUCACGGGAAGGUGGAUGAGGCUCUUAGGCUCCGGGGGACAUGGUGACUGAGAACUAGUCCUGACAUCUGGGGCUGACAGCAGAGCGAGGAGGCACGUCUGGUGUGGCGGGAAGGUGUCCUCCAGGCUGACGGCACAGCUGGUGUGCUCGGGCAGCCCUGGUUUACACUUAGCAGCCCCGCUAAUUGUUGACAGCUCUCCUUUCUCUCUUGGAAGCAUCCGGAUUUGGAAGGUUCCUGGUCGCUUGUGAACGCCUGCUUUCCUGCAGGGAACCUGGAAGCUUGCUCCGUGAGGCCAGAGAGUGCUACUGUAAUCAGCCCCAGGAGACACCGUGGACGCUGAGUCUCCAGGAAGCCUUGCCCGGUGGGGCCGUGCACGGCACUCCAAGUCCUGGCGCUCAGCUGACACCCACCCCUCUGCAGCUUUGAUGUGGGGCCACCUCGUGUUUGUUUUGCUGGUGUCAUCGGAAAGGGAUGUUCCUCUCCGUCGUCACGGAGAGAAAAUGGACAGAUCUAUCUUAUGUUUCUGAAUAUCCUCCUUUCACAAUCAGUUUGUUUCUUGGAGACCAAAAAAAAAAAAAAAGGCAGCUAUUAGAGUUUAAUAUUUGCUGAAAACCAAACGCGCCUUCCACACAAGGUGACCGUGGGCGUCCUGGAGAGCCAUGGCCCAGCUGAAGCGGAACUGAAGGCCAAGAUGGCACUCCUCAUACAUGGACCACGAAGUGGGAACCCACUCUAAGGAGCAGCAAGCCACAAUGAGGCUGACGCUGGGAACGGAUCUAACCCUGCUGUUGAGUUUGGGUUGUGGGUUAUUAGGUAAAAAUACCGUAAUUGUGAGGACGCAGGCAGUGCCCUGGCCACGUGCAGUCACCAGGCUCGAAUUCCUCCACCAGCUCUGAAAUCUUUCAGCUGGUCCUGGCUCUCCCACAUCCUGACCCAUGUCCCUCCAAACGGGGUCCCGUGGUGUUCGUUGCUGUCUCUGGAGCCCAUGCGUGGCUGCGGGCAGGUGUUCUGACCAGUCAGUCAGCAUGUCCUCAUCCGCUUCCUUUCGCAGCAUGAGCGAGACAGAGAAGAGACAAUGGUGUCUGGCGGUGUCCCUGACAAUCUGGUCACCCCAUAUGUGGAUCUACAAACUGACUUAAAUUCUUCGCCAAGAUCGACGGAGCUGUUGGGUAAUUGCUGAAACCCGAUCACGGACACAUGGAGUCUGUCCUACCACUCUGCGUUUUUAUGUCUGUUUGGGAAUUUCCACGAGAAAUGUUUUUAAAUAGUCAAAUUUGGGGCCAGCAGGUUGCCUAGUGGUUA